GACGAACUUUGGCGGCGUGCUUAACACAUGCAAGUCGAACGGAAAGGCCCUGCUUUUGUGGGGUGCUCGAGUGGCGAACGGGUGAGUAACACGUGAGUAACCUGCCCUUGACUUUGGGAUAACUUCAGGAAACUGGGGCUAAUACCGGAUAGGAGCUCCUGCUGCAUGGUGGGGGUUGGAAAGUUUCGGCGGUUGGGGAUGGACUCGCGGCUUAUCAGCUUGUUGGUGGGGUAGUGGCUUACCAAGGCUUUGACGGGUAGCCGGCCUGAGAGGGUGACCGGCCACAUUGGGACUGAGAUACGGCCCAGACUCCUACGGGAGGCAGCAGUGGGGAAUAUUGCACAAUGGGCGGAAGCCUGAUGCAGCAACGCCGCGUGCGGGAUGACGGCCUUCGGGUUGUAAACCGCUUUCGCCUGUGACGAAGCGUGAGUGACGGUAAUGGGUAAAGAAGCACCGGCUAACUACGUGCCAGCAGCCGCGGUGAUACGUAGGGUGCGAGCGUUGUCCGGAUUUAUUGGGCGUAAAGGGCUCGUAGGUGGUUGAUCGCGUCGGAAGUGUAAUCUUGGGGCUUAACCCUGAGCGUGCUUUCGAUACGGGUUGACUUGAGGAAAGGUAGGGGAGAAUGGAAUUCCUGGUGGAGCGGUGGAAUGCGCAGAUAUCAGGAGGAACACCAGUGGCGAAGGCGGUUCUCUGGGCCUUUCCUGACGCUGAGGAGCGAAAGCGUGGGGAGCGAACAGGCUUAGAUACCCUGGUAGUCCACGCUGUAAACGGUGGGUACUAGGUGUGGGGUCCAUUCCACGGGUUCCGUGCCGUAGCUAACGCUUUAAGUACCCCGCCUGGGGAGUACGGCCGCAAGGCUAAAACUCAAAGGAAUUGACGGGGCCCCGCACAAGCGGCGGAGCAUGCGGAUUAAUUCGAUGCAACGCGUAGAACCUUACCUGGGUUUGACAUGGAUCGGGAGUGCUCAGAGAUGGGUGUGCCUCUUUUGGGGUCGGUUCACAGGUGGUGCAUGGCUGUCGUCAGCUCGUGUCGUGAGAUGUUGGGUUAAGUCCCGCAACGAGCGCAACCCUUGUUCACUGUUGCCAGCACGUUAUGGUGGGGACUCAGUGGAGACCGCCGGGGUCAACUCGGAGGAAGGUGGGGAUGACGUCAAGUCAUCAUGCCCCUUAUGUCCAGGGCUUCACGCAUGCUACAAUGGCUGGUACAGAGAGUGGCGAGCCUGUGAGGGUGAGCGAAUCUCGGAAAGCCGGUCUCAGUUCGGAUUGGGGUCUGCAACUCGACCUCAUGAAGUCGGAGUCGCUAGUAAUCGCAGAUCAGCAACGCUGCGGUGAAUACGUUCCCGGGGCU
rnacentral:rRNA from 1 species